GAAUCACAUCAUGCAUUUUCACAUAUUUGCCUUUCCCUUCCAAUAAACACACCCCAGCAAGAGAACUGAUUAUAGAAUAUGCCUCGUCGCGGGUACAAGAGUUCUCAUAAAUCCAAUAAUGUACCAAGUUAUCUUUCAUUAUUUGGAAGUCUUCCAGAAACAAGGAAAAAUAUAAGAAACAAGCUUUAACUUUAUCACUACACAGACUAUCAUAACUAAACUUCAACCGUACAAAUACCUCAACCUCCAUAUCUUAAAAGACCUCAUCUUCCAUGUCAGGUAAAAUUGAGGCAGAGCAUCUUAGUACCUCAAGAGCAUGCUUCUAUUCUUCCAUUGUAAUUCUACUGGACAUGGCUCUAUCAAUGUUAAUAAAUGCGAUUGGCAACCCUUUACACUCCUUAGCAACAGUCUGAGCAAGAGGAACAAUAUCAAGAUCAAUAUCCCCAACUUCUCUUUAAACAACGCCAAAGCUUCUUCCCAAUCAAAGCGAUUCACUUUUAUCAUCUUUUCAGCU
rnacentral:misc_RNA from 1 species